AGCAGCCGCGGUAAUUCCAGCUCCAAUAGCGUAUAUUAAAGUUGUUGCAGUUAAAAGCUCGUAGUUGAAUUUCGGGAUUUAUCCGUCGGUCGGGCUUUUGGGUCUGUACUGGCGUGAUGGAUUCCUACCUUCUGAAUAACCGGCAUGUCAUUAAUUUGGUGCGCCGGGGAAGCAGGACUGUUACCUUGAAAAAAUUAGAGUGCUUAAAGCAGGCUUAUGCCUGAAUACAUUAGCAUGGAAUAAUGAAAUAGGACGGCAUGGUUCUAUUUUGUUGGUUUCUAGGAUCACCGUAAUGAUUAAUAGGGAUAGUUGGGGGCAUUAGUAUUCAAUUGUCAGAGGUGAAAUUCUUGGAUUUAUUGAAGACUAACUUCUGCGAAAGCAUUUGCCAAGGAUGUUUUCAUUAAUCAAGAACGAAAGUUAGGGGAUCGAAGACGAUCAGAUACCGUCGUAGUCUUAACCAUAAACUAUGCCGACUAGGGAUCGGACGAUGUUAAUUUUUAAUGACUCGCUCGGCGCCUUC
rnacentral:rRNA from 1 species